UCCAUCCAUUCUCAUGACU
rnacentral:snRNA from 1 species